rnacentral:rRNA from 1 species
CCUACGGGAGGCAGCAGUGAGGAAUAUUGGUCAAUGGGCGCGAGCCUGAACCAGCCAAGUAGCGUGAAGGAGGACUGCCCUACGGGUUGUAAACUGCUUUUAUAAAGGAAUAAAGUGAGGCACGUGUGCCGUUUUGUAUGUACUUUAUGAAUAAGGAUCGGCUAACUCCGUGCCAGCAGCCGCGGUAAUACGGAGGAUCCGAGCGUUAUCCGGAUUUAUUGGGGUUAAAGGGAGCGUAGAUGGGUUGUUAAGUCAGUUGUUAAAGUUUGCGGCUCACCCGUAAAAUUGCAAUUGAUACUGGCAGCCUUGAGUACAUUUGCGGUAGGCGGCAUUCGUGGUGUAGCGGUUA